rnacentral:rRNA from 1 species
AUGCUAGUUGAACGAUCCCGGACAAUGGCGGGGAAGUGGCGCACUGCUCAGUAACACGUAGCUAACCUAACCCCGGGACGGGUAUACCCNCGGGAAACUGGGGACAAUGCCCGAUAGGCGUGGGCUCCUGGAAUGGUUCCACGCCCAAACGUUAGCUCGCCCAUGUCGCGAGCACACGCCCGAGGAUGGGGCUGCGGCUGAUCAGGCUGUUGGUGAGGUAACGGCUCACCAAACCUUUGACCGGUACGGGCCGUGAGAGCGGUAGCCCGGAGAUGGACACUGAGACAAGGGCCCAGGCCCUACGGGGCGCAGCAGGGGCGAAACCUCCACAAUGCACGAAAGUGUGAUGGGGUUACCUCGAGUGCCGUCUGAAAAAGGCGGCUUUUCCAUGGUGUAAUGCGCCGGGGGAAUAAGCGGGGGGGCA